UGCAAUGACCGGCGAUGACCUGUGGAUAGCGGUGAAAUUCCAAUCGAACCCGGAGAUAGCUGGUUCUCCCCGAAAUAGCUUUAGGGCUAGCGUCGCAGCGAGAGAGCCGUGAAGGUAGAGCACUGAAUAUGCGAUGGCCGCAUCCCGCGGUACUGAGCAUAAUCAAACUCCGAAUGUCACGGUGUCAUCUGCGGCAGUCAGACGGCGAGUGAUAAGGUCCGUCGUCAAGAGGGAAACAGCCCAGACCAUCAGCUAAGGUCCCAAAGUGCAUGCUAAGUGGAAAAGGAAGUGGAGACGUGCAGACAACUAGGAGGUUGGCUCAGAAGCAGCCAUCCUUCAAAGAGUGCGUAACAGCUCACUAGUCGAAUGACUCUGCGCCGAUAAUUUACCGGGGCUAAGCAUGACACCGAAGCUAUGGACAGGAAUGUGGUAGGGGAGCAUUGCAUGCAGCGGAGAAGCAUGACCGAGAGGGCAUGUGGAGCGCAUGGAAGAGAGAAUGCCGGCGUGAGUAGCGGCACGUGGGUGAGAAUCCCACGCACCGAUGGCCCAAGGUCUCCAGAGGAAGGCUCGUCCUCUCUGGGAUAGUCGGGACCUAAGGCGAGGCCGAAAGGCGUAGCCGAUGGACGACGGGUGGAUAUUCCCGUACCCGAUGUGUGGCGAUGGAGUGACGGAGAAGGCUCAGGCAACCAGCUGCUGGAAUAGCUGGGGCAAGCGAGAUACCUGCGCACCAGGGAAAUCCGGUGCGCGCAAGGGGAAGGCGCGAAGCAUACGGAAAGCUUCGGCAAGUACGGAAAAGCUGAGAGCAGGCUUCCAGGAAAAGCUUCUAGCACAACACGCAUCGGCCCGUACCGAAAAUGGACACACAUGGGCAAGGAGAGAAUCCUGAGGUGAGCGAGAGAACUAUAGCUAAGGAACUCUGCAAAAUGACCCCGUAACUUAGGGAGAAGGGGUGCUCCAGAAAUGGAGCCGCAGUAAAACGGCCCAAGCGACUGUUUACCAAAAACACAGCUCUCUGCGAAGGCGCAAGCCGAAGUAUAGGGGGUGACGCCUGCCCGGUGCUGGAAGGUCAAGGGGAGCUGUCAGCGCAAGCGAAGCAGCGAGCCGAAGCCCCAGUAAACGGCGGCCGUAACUAUAACGGUCCUAAGGUAGCGAAAUUCCUUGUCGGGCAAGUUCCGACCCGCACGAAAGGCGUAACGAUUUGGGCGCUGUCUCAGCUGUAGACUCGGUGAAGUCUUAGUACCUGUGAAGAUGCAGGUUGCCCGCGACUAGACGGAAAGACCCCAUGGAGCUUCACUGCAGGUUGACAUUGGGCUUGGAUGCAUGAUGUACAGGAUAGGUGGGAGGCUGUGAGCCGUGCGCGCCAGCGUACGGGGAGCCGCUGUUGGGAUACCACCCUUCAUGCAUCUAGGUCCUAACCGGAGGCAACGGGCCACGGGACAGUGUCAGUCGGGCAGUUUGACUGGGGCGGUCGCCUCCCAAAGAGUAACGGAGGCGCCCAAAGAUACCCUCAGCAUGGAUGGAAACCAUGCAUAGAGUGCAAAGGCAUAAGGGUGUCUGACUGCGAGACAUACAGGUCGAGCAGGGACGAAAGUCGGGCUUAGUGAUCCGGCGGAUCCGAAUGGAAGGGCCGUCGCUCAACGGAUAAAAGCUACCCUGGGGAUAACAGGCUGAUCCUACCCGAGAGUCCAUAUCGACGGUAGGGUUUGGCACCUCGAUGUCGGCUCAUCGCAUCCUGGGGCUGGAGAAGGUCCCAAGGGUUGGGCUGUUCGCCCAUUAAAGCGGUACGUGAGCUGGGUUCAGAACGUCGUGAGACAGUUCGGUCCCUAUCCACUGUAGGCGUUAGAAUAUUGAGAAGACCUGUCCUUAGUACGAGAGGACCGGGAUGGACAAACCUCUGAUGUACCAGUUGUCACGCCAGUGGCACAGCUGGGUAGUCACGUUUGGAAUAGAUAACCGCUGAAAGCAUCUAAGCGGGAAACUAACUUCAAGAUAAGUAUUCU
rnacentral:rRNA from 1 species